GAUGAACGCUGGCGGCGUGCCUAAUACAUGCAAGUCGAGCGAACGGACGAGAAGCUUGCUUCUCUGAUGUUAGCGGCGGACGGGUGAGUAACACGUGGAUAACCUACCUAUAAGACUGGGAUAACUUCGGGAAACCGGAGCUAAUACCGGAUGAUAUUUUGAACCGCAUGGUUCAAAAGUGAAAGACGGUCUUGCUGUCACUUAUAGAUGGAUCCGCGCUGCAUUAGCUAGUUGGUAAGGUAACGGCUUACCAAGGCAACGAUGCAUAGCCGACCUGAGAGGGUGAUCGGCCACACUGGAACUGAGACACGGUCCAGACUCCUACGGGAGGCAGCAGUAGGGAAUCUUCCGCAAUGGGCGAAAGCCUGACGGAGCAACGCCGCGUGAGUGAUGAAGGUCUUCGGAUCAUAAAACUCUGUUAUUAGGGAAGAACAUAUGUGUAAGUAACUGUGCACAUCUUGACGGUACCCAAUCAGAAAGCCACGGCUAACUACGUG
rnacentral:rRNA from 1 species